CCCUAUACCUCUCCUCCUCUGCGUUUGUGGCCAACCAUGAAAAUCACGAUACAAAAAGAUGAGCCGCUGACCGAUUUACCCCGUUUUUUUCUGUAUACAUACAUUAGUUCCCUUUCGAAUCAUGUUGUUUUGCCCAAUUUUGUUGUGUGCAAAUCCUCUCUAAGUCCGAUAUCUACAUCCUGCCGGCGGACUCAAGCUUUGCGGCAGCUACCCGGAAGACUCAAGCUUUGCCGCAGCUAGCAGGCAUACUCAAGCUUUGCAGCAGCUACCCGGCAUUUCAUUGGAAAAUCGACAUGGUUGACGGAGUAAUUGACAAAGAGGCAAAAAAAUAAGAGAAGGCGUCUUACUGGAACAUUUGCGUUGCUCGAUAGAAUUCCUGAACAAGUCCGACACAUGAAUAGAAUGGUUGGUAUCACAGAUAGGACAUGCAUUGAUUAUUUAAGGAUAGACAAAAACACCUUUGGGCGACUAUGUCGCCUCCUUCGAGAUCGGAUUGGCCUUAUAGACCAGAAAUUUGUGAUGUUGGAAGAACAGGUGGCUAUGAUUUUGUACAUAUUGUCUCAUCACGAGAAAACGCGUAUUGUGGGCUUCAACUUUAUGCGGUCUUCUCAGACGGUUUCCCACUAUAUGCAUAUUGUUUUGCAUGGUGUGCUACAACUAUACGAAGUCUUAUUAGUGAAGUCUUGGUGCAUUAGAUGACACCUACACAAAUGUGGUUUAGAAAGGUGGAAAUGGUUUCAGGUUCGCUCAAUGAACUGAAUGCUCAUAUGUAAUUACAUUAGAAUAAUGCUUUAGAAAGUAGAUGUCUUUUUUUACAAUAUUUUCUCGAACACAGGGUUGUCUUGGUGCAUUAGAUGGCACCUACAUAAAUGUUCGAGUGCCACUCGUAGACGUACCGAGGUACCGUACCAGAAAGGGCCAUAUAGCCACGAACACUCUAGCUGUGUGUGACUGAUAUUUGAGAUUUGUAUAUGUGCUUCCGGGAUGGGAGGGUUCGGCUAGUGAUUCGCGCAUCUUGCGUGAUGCACUCAGUCGACUGAUACUGAGAUAUUUUUAAACUGCGUGCACAAUAAGGAAUAGCAAGCUUCCCGGGUCCAGUGAAUCCACUAGAUCACAAGGUCUAAGAACUCACGGAACGCUGAAAGAUCUCGGUCGUUGGACACACAGAAUAUCACUUCAAAACCCUCAACCCGCGUAUACUAGAAUUAGUAUAGGGAAGUAGGGAUCGAUCCCACGAGCACAGAUGCGAAAUCAUGCAUUUAAAGGGCUUUCGGGUGGUAUGGCUGCUGCCACGCAACGUGGGGUUGAGGAACUUAUACUAGACAAAGGAAAAGAAAUUUAACUAUAUCUAGAUCUAAGAAACGGUAAACAAACACGUAACACAACUUGACAUCAUAUCAUCACUAUCUCAAAUCAACUUCCUGGAUCUAGUAAUAUUGCUACCUAAUCUAGCUAGACAGACUCGAUGCAUGCAGUGGGGACCAUUUUUCCAAAAAUAGAAACGUACGACCAAAAAGCUGCAAAUAACCAACUCUAAGCCUAACUACCUACAAAACGCAAGCAUCAUUGGAAUUUAACUGAAACAUGAUGAAAACAGAACAACGCUCGCAACUCAACGGCGACAACAAUUGAACGUCAGAAGAAACGCCGAGAAAACCAACAAAAAAAACUCAGAUCUCUAUCUCCUAGAUGAAGUAAAGCGAAAACGAAAGUAGAAAUUCAGAAUCCAUGCACAAUUCAGUUCCCCUGUUCAGAUCCACACUUCGGAUGCUAAAUCCACUCCGGAUCCAAGCAUUCGAGACAAACUCCGAUCAAAAUCAUCUCCAUAACUACAGAUUCGCCGAUUCUCCACAGAUCAACAACAACAACCACAGAUCAACUCAUAUUUCCCAGAUCAAGUACAUAAAACAUCCAACACAGAGAAUAACAAUCAACCUCCGAAACAAAUAUGCAUGAACUAGGUUCAACUUUUAGGCAACCGUCCCCACAAGAUUAAGGUCAAUCCAACAGGCUGCACUUCUCCAAAUUGGCCCCUUCCCUUCUUCCACCUAAUCAAUCUGUCAGUUCGUCAAGAUAGCCUUUUACUUCCCCAAUUGUUGGAUUCACUCGAUCACUCAUUCCUCACAGGGAUGUUAGGACCGAAUCUCUCAUAAGUUAUUGCCAAACACCGAAGCGUCGGGUUAUGAGAGUUUUCUCCUUUCUACACUUCGUUCCCCCUUUUAUUCCUGGGUCAGGUUACUAUUGCUUCCUGUCCUUAGACAUAUUUCCCCUGGUCUUCGUCCAACUUAUACCUUCAUAACUCAAUUUCCCCUAUUUUUUCUCCUUCAAGACUCUUCUCCCUAAGCAUUCAGUGACAGCCCCAUUUUACAUAUGUUAGCUCAAAAUAUUUUUUUUAGGCUUAUAACUCGCUCUUAUAGUGGGGCUUCACAACUAAGUCAGCUAAGACAUCUUCUAUCGUUCUUACUUCAUCCAGAUUGACCUCGGCUUAUUAAAGGAAAAAGCUUCUAAGUUGAAAUACAUCCUGUCUUCAAUUGCUCUCACUAAGGAGAUCAUGCCGUAUUAUAUUCACCAACUCAUGCGACACAAACAAAACCUAGACUUAACGACUCUUAACAUUUUAAACACAUACAAGCAUUGACUCCCCUCCCCCUCCCACUUCACUCAAACUUGUCCCCAAGCCAUCGUCGUGAAGGGGGGAAACAUGACAGUCAAUCCAACAUACAACAAACAAUAUAACCAAAUAAAACUUCUCCCACUUAGACCGAGCAUCAGGCUAAGUGGGAGAAGACAACAUUAAAACAAAA